UGGGAUUUAGCUCACUGGUAGAGGGUUUACUUAGCAUGCACAAGAUCCUAGGUUCAAUUCCUAGUAUUGCAA
rnacentral:tRNA from 1 species